rnacentral:rRNA from 1 species
UACGAAGGGAGCUAGCGUUGUUCGGAAUCACUGGGCGUAAAAGCGCACGUUAGGCGGAUGUGUCAGUCAGGGGUGAAAUCCCGGAGCUCAACUUCGGAACUGCCCUUGAUACAGCACGUCUUGAGUCCGGAAGAGGUGGGUGGAAUCCUAGUGUAGAGGUGAAAUUCGUAGAUAUUAGGAAGAAACACCGGUGGCGAAGGCGGCCCGA